rnacentral:lncRNA from 1 species
UUUUAAAAAUGUACACUAUAUAUGAAAUUAUUUCUCUAAACUCCAAACUUAUUGGCUAUAACCCAAGGUGCACAAAUAGGAUUCAUGGAAAAUUGAAAGUUGCAAUGAUCAAACGAGUCAUCAGUGUAUGUUCGGUAUCAUACUUGGAUGAGACUGAAGUAUUGUAUUGUAUUCCUAUGUGAGAAUACGAGUAUGGUUCCCUAUGCACUGUUCACAUCGUUCUUCAACCUUGUGACAAAUGUGUUUCAGAUCUUGGAGGUCAUUACUUCGUCAACUUUGUACAUUGUUCUCCUACCUAUUCACACAUGGUUGCAUAUCUUGGAGCUCGUUCGUCGUUUUCAAGGUCCUAUAUCGUCUUUCUUUCUUACUUAAUGGAAUCAUUUUCUACCAUUUUAAAGACAUAUAUAAAAUUUGUUGGAAUCAUAGAAAGUUAGAGUUGUUCACAGUCUGUUUACAUAUGUAUAUCUCUUUCAUCUGUUUGCAUUAAUGUUAU